GUCUAUGACCAUACCACCCUGAAUGCAGCCAAUCUUGUCUGAUCUCAGAAGCUAAACAGGGUCAGGCCUGGUUAGUAAAUGGAUGGGAGACAGAUCUUCAGAAGACACUGCUUAGAGACAAGCAGUUUGGAGACA
rnacentral:rRNA from 1 species